rnacentral:misc_RNA from 1 species
AAAAAUGGCGGCACCGCUACACAUUAGCUUUAUCUGCAACAGUUGGAAAUAGAGAUAAUAGAGGAAUAGAGAGCAAAAGUUCAAAUUCUUGCCAUGGGUUUUGUUUUCAAGUGCAAGACAUAGCGUGGCGUGAGUUCUAAGGUUUGUGUCUUUCUUUUUCAUUCGUUUGAUGGGAAAGUUGUGUGGUUGUUGAUGUUGUUUUUUAUGCUAUCAUGGGAACAAGAAAGGGUUUUCUUUCAUGAGUUCGACGGAAUGUGCUAAAGCUAAAGCCUGGGAUGUUGGGUUGGUUUUAAGGAUGCAAGCUAAAGAAUCUUGUAGAGUCAUGUCUAAUCAUGAAGCUUCUCAGUUACUAUCAUCCUCUUCUAGUAGU